rnacentral:lncRNA from 1 species
AUGGGAAUUUUGAGGGGUUUUAAUGGGAAUUUUGGGAGUUUAUUUGGAAUUUUUGGGAUUUUGGGGGAUUUCUGGGGAUUUCCAAAGGGAACUUUGGGAUCCCCAGGACCCUCCCUGGGUGGAAUUUUGGGAAUUUUUGGGGUUUUUUUGGGGAAUUUUGGGAUCUCUGGGGAGUUCCCAGAUUUCUGGGAGCUUCCCAAAUUCCGGAAUUUUCCAGGGAGCCGCUGGAGGAGGAGCCUGGGAAAGCCCCCGGGGACCCCCCGGCCAAGGAGGCCUCGCCCAGCGCUCCGGGAAAAAGGCCGCCCGGGCGAUUCCCGCAGCAGCGACGGAAGAAGAGGAGAGAGGGGGGGGAGGGGCUGGAGCCGCCUCCCCAAAAACAGAGUGAGCCCAAAAACCCGGAAUUGUCACCCAAAAACCGGGAAUUGUCACCCAAAAACCCAGAAUUGUCACCCAAAAUCUGGGAAUUGUGACCCAAAAUUGGGAAUUGUCACCCAAAAUUGGGAAUUGUCACCCAAAAAUGGGAAUUGUCACCAAAAAACCGGGAAUUGUCACCCGAAAACCGGGAAUUGUCACCCAAAAUUGGGAAUUGUCACCCAAAAUCUGGGAAUUGUCACCCAAAAUUGGGAAUUGUCACCCGAAAACCUGGAAUUGUGACCCAAUAAUUGGGAAUUGUCACCCAAAAUUGGGAAUUGUCACCAAAAACCGGGAAUUGUCACCCAAAAACCCAGAAUUGUCACCCAGAAUCGGGAAUUGUCACCCAAAAACCGGGAAUGGUCACCCAAAAACCCGGAAUUGGCACCCAAAAUCGGGAAUUGUCACCCAAAAACCCGGAAUUCUGACCCAAAAUUGGGAAUUGUGGCCCAAAAACUGGGAAUUCUCACCCAAAAUUGAGAAUUGUGGCCCAAAAAUUGGGAAUUCUGACCCAAAAUUGGGAAUUGUCACCCAAAACCGGGAAUUGUGACCCAAAAACCGGGAAUUGUCACCCAAAAUCGGGAACUGUCACCCAAAAUCCGGGAAUUGUCACCCAAAAUUGGGAAUUCUCACACAAAAACCGGGAAUUGUGACCCAAAAACCCGGAAUUGUCACCCAAAAUUGGGAAUUGUCACCCAAAAUUGGGAAUUCUGACCCCAAAAUGGGGAACUGGGAAUCGGGGCUGGGUUUUGGGGUGAUUUUGAGGUGUUUAGGGUCAUUUUGGGGUGAUUUCGGGUGGUUUUGGGAUGAUUUUGGGGUAAUUUUGGGUGGUUUUGGGUGAUUUUGGGUGUUUCUAGGGUUUUUAGGGUGUUUAGGGUGUUUUUUGGGGUGUUUUUGUGUCAUUUAGGGGUGUUUUUGGGGUGAUUUUGGGUGGUUUUGGGUCAAUUUGUGCCAUUUCUGGGGUGAUUUUGGCUGAUUUUGGGUGAUUUAGGGGUGAUUUGGGGUGAUUUUGGGGUGUUUUGUGCCAUUUUUAGGCCGGUUUGUGCCAGUUUUGGGGUGUUUUGGGGUCAUUUAGGGGUGAUUUUGGGUGAUUUUGGGGUUAUUUGGGGGAUUUUGGGCCAGUUUGUGCCGGUUUUGGGGUGAUUUUGGCUGAUUUUGGGUGAUUUUGGGGUUAUUUGGGGGAUUUUGGGCCGGUUUGUGUCAGUUUUGGGGUGAUUUUGGGGUGAUUUGGGGUCAUUUAGGG